rnacentral:rRNA from 1 species
GUGGGGAAUAUUGGACAAUGGGCGAAAGCCUGAUCCAGCCAUGCCGCGUGUGUGAAGAAGGUCUUCGGAUUGUAAAGCACUUUAAGUUGGGAGGAAGGGCAGUAAGUUAAUACCUUGCUGUUUUGACGUUACCGACAGAAUAAGCACCGGCUAACUUCGUGCCAGCAGCCGCGGUAAUACGUAGGGUGCAAGCGUUAAUCGGAAUUACUGGGCGUAAAGCGCGCGUAGGUGGUUUUGUAAGUUGGAGGUGAAAUCCCCGGGCUCAACCUGGGAACUGCCUCCAAAACUGCAUGACUAGAGUACGGUAUAGGGUAGUGGAAUUUCCUGUGUAGCGGUGAAAUGCGUAGAUAUAGGAAGGAACACCGGUGGCGAAGGCGACCACCUGGCUCGGUACUGACGCUGAGGCGCGACAGCGUGGGGAGCAAACAGGAUUAGAUACCCUAGUAGUCC